UACGGGGGGGGCAAGCGUUGUUCGGAAUUACUGGGCGUAAAGGGCUCGUAGGUGGCCAACUAAGUCGGACGUGAAAUCCCUCAGCUUAACUGGGGAACUGCGUCCGAUACUGGAUGGCUCGAGUUUGGGAGAGGGAUGCGGAAUUCCAGGUGUAGCGGUGAAAUGCGUAGAUAUCUGGAGGAACACCGGUGGCGAAGGCGGCAUCCUGGACCAACACUGACACUGAGGAGCGAAAGCCAGGGGAGCGAACGGG
rnacentral:rRNA from 1 species